AUUUUUUAUGAUUUGUAAUUUAAAUUUAAAUUUUUAUGAAAAUUAAAUUAUUUUUUUUUAUAUGAGAAUUAAUUAAAAUUACGUAUUUUGAAUUUCAUAACCCAAAUCUAAAACUCACUUUGUAAAUGAGUUGAGCUACUUGCAAGCUGCACGAGACUCAGUUCAAUAAAAGGUUUGGCUCAGCUCGGCUCAUUUAGAGCUCGUUUUCUACAUGAGCCAAGCUUGAGCUUAUGGAUAGCUCAAGCUCGAAAAAAUUUUGAUGAACCAAGCCUGAGCUCUUCAAAGCUCGGCCUGGCUCAGCCAGUUUACACCCUCUACUUUCCCCCUUAUCUCCCUCUCCAUUGCUGUUCGAUUAUAAAGGCUUUGAGCUGGGACAUUUUAAAGAUCCUGAUAUGGGUAGUAAUUAUAGUAUUUUUGAUUGUUUGAAUCAUCCACUAUGAUCUCUUAUUGUCCAGAGAGGGAAAAAGUUACUUGUAGUGUAUGUUAUUUUUUCAUUCAGAAAGAUACA
rnacentral:misc_RNA from 1 species